GCCAUGCGAGUCUGCUGGGAGCCCAUGCUCCUGGCGGCGCACGGCUCCGUAAUACACGGUCAACCUACCCUAGGGACCGGGAUAACCUCGGGAAACUGAGGCUAAUCCCGAAUAGGGGUGAGUUCCUGGAAUGGUCUCACCCUGAAAGUAGGUGGGGGAAAGGCCCCGCUGAGGCCCUAGGAUGGGACCGUGGCCUAUCAGGUAGUAGGUGGGGUAACGGCCCACCUAGCCUAAGACGGGUACGGGCUCUGAGAGGAGGAGCCCGGAGAUGGGCACUGAGACAAGGGCCCAGGCCCUACGGGGCGCAGCAGGCGGGAAACUUCCCCAAUGCGCGAAAGCGUGAGGGAGUGAGCCCGAGUGCCGCCCGCUGAGGGCGGCUGUUCCCGGGUGUAAACAGCCCGGGGUAGGAAGGGGAGGGUAAGGCUGGUGCCAGCCGCCGCGGUAAAACCAGCUCCCCGAGGUGUUCCCACGCAUACUGGGCCUAAAGCGUCCGUAGCCGGUCCCGUAAGUCUCCGGUUAAAUCCGCCUGAAGACAGGCGGGCUGCCGGGAUACUGCGGGGCUAGGGAGCGGGAGGGGCCGAGGGUAUUCCGGGGGGAGCGGUAAAAUGCGUAGAUCCCCGGAGGACCACCAGUGGCGAAGGCGCUCGGCUGGAACGCGUCCGACGGUGAGGGACGAAAGCUGGGGGAGCAAACCGGAUUAGAUACCCGGGUAGUUCCAGCCGUAAACGAUGCCGGCUAGGUGCCGGCUGAGGUUUUCGACCUCAGUCGGUGUCGAAGCGAAGGCAUUAAGCCGGCCGCCUGAGGAGUACGGCCGCAAGGCUGAAACUUGAAGGAAUUGACGGGGGGGCACCACA
rnacentral:rRNA from 1 species